rnacentral:lncRNA from 1 species
UUGUUAAUGAGAGGUUGUGUGUAGGGUUUGAUUACAGAGGAGGGAGACGAAGCUGCAACGAAUUGCUUUUAAAUAACAAUAAGUAUUAACUGAAUAGAUAGAGAGGGAGAAGACGAUGAUGUUCAGGAGUUGAGGACUGACCUUCUUAUAGGUGAAUAAAACAUCGCCUUGAAGAAAAAUAAAAAGCAUUGAAUGAUCUGUAGUGAUUGUUGUGGGUCAAAGGAGUAAAGAUGGUUCUUAAUGGCGAAGAAUGGGUGAAUCCGUAACGUUUUGGAGGAGAAGAAUCUAAGAUGAACAGACGCGAACGAAGAUCGACCCAAAGAUUCAUCAGGAAGAUUCUUCUCACACAACCUCCAGAAACUCCACUAAUGGCGAUAAUUCUUAAUAGGAUGGAUGUCUCACGAUGAAUCCUAGAAGAAGACGAUGGGUGUCGUGAAGAAUAAGAUGUUAACC